rnacentral:rRNA from 1 species
AGUGAACGCUGGCGGUAGGCCUAACACAUGCAAGUCGAACGGCAGCACAGUAAGAGCUUGCUCUUACGGGUGGCGAGUGGCGGACGGGUGAGGAAUACAUCGGAAUCUACUUUUUCGUGGGGGAUAACGUAGGGAAACUUACGCUAAUACCGCAUACGACCUACGGGUGAAAGCUGGGGAUCUUCGGACCUUGCGCGAUUGAAUGAGCCGAUGUCGGAUUAGCUAGUUGGCGGGGUAAAGGCCCACCAAGGCGACGAUCCGUAGCUGGUCUGAAAGGAUGAUCAGCCACACUGGAACUGAGACACGGUCCAGACUCCUACGGGAGGCAGCAGUGGGGAAUAUUGGACAAUGGGCGCAAGCCUGAUCCAGCCAUACCGCGUGGGUGAAGAAGGCCUUCGGGUUGUAAAGCCCUUUUGUUGGGAAAGAAAAGCAGCAGGUUAAUACCCCGCUGUUCUGACGGUACCCAAAGAAUAAGCACCGGCUAACUUCGUG